UAUGCUCGAAACCAAAGAGUGACACCUUUUUUACGCACUACAUGAGCUCAGCAGCAUAUUAAGAGCCGUUUUCGCAAUGUCCGGUUAAUAUUAUUUUUAAUCAGUGGUAACUUAGCUUGAAAUUACAACUUCAUUUUCAGCAAAGUCUGGUUACCCUUACUGCCCUUUUUCAUUGUCUGAAGAAGCGCUUAUGCGCAACAAUCGGUAGAUCGAAAAAAUUUUUAGUCUGUUGGUAAAUAGUGUCAGUUAAUUCUGAUAGAGUUAUCCGGGAAAAUAAGCUGCUGGUUUAAGAAAUUUUUUUAUUCCAGUAUUCGGGAUGUGACUACGAAAUUCAGUUGAUAUUGUCAAAUUCGCUAAGAGCAAAGUAGCGGUAUCACCAUCGGCACCACUUCAUUCUCCUCUCCAUCAUCACUGAGACCUUGGUAAUGGUUCGCGGACGUCGCCAUCAAGCCGACUGCGUUCAAGGCUAUGGCGCUAGAGCAGCUGAUUUUGUGUCUUGAUUGUCAAAGUGACUCGCUUCUUUUAGACGAAUAAUUUAAUUUUCAAGAUACCGUCGUUAACUGAACUUCUCGAUACUCAAUUGAUAAUUUUAUAACUGUCAAAUUUGAUUGAACGCGUUGCAAGGUGGAUUUAUUAUUAUUAUAAUGGCAACUUGAACAACAACCUGAAACAGGCGUUGCCAGUUAUGCCAUUUUGAAAAUAUCAAGUGAGCUAGUACGGUGUGCUCCCGCUUCUUCAUUGUUUUAAAGCAUUAUUUGAUUUAUACGAUGAAUAGAAAAGAAUGCCGCACAGAUUCUGAGUGAAUUCUUUUUGCAAUGAAGUCAAAUGCAGAGUGCGUCAAUCAUGUAAAAUGACAGCGCAUUCCUUCACAAACAACAAUUGUGACAACGUGAAUGGGUAGUGCAUUGUGAAUAUUUAAGAUCGAACACAGAAAAAUAGCGUUUCUUUUUAUAUUUUAAAUGCCAAUAAAUUAAAACUGCAUAUCAGCUAUAUAAUUAUAACAAUA